AGCAGACAAAGACUGCUUACCAUAAGGCACCCUCUGAACAUAUAGCAUUUUGAAGCAAAAAAAAUAUGGAGGAGAAGGCUGGGAGGUGAAGAAUAAGAUUCUUUAUUUUAAGAGGCAGUCAUGUGAAAAUGCUGCAGUAUUCCUCAUAGCAUGCAAAGGACUGAUAAGAAGUUGAAAAAAAAAUAUCUGUUUUUCCGACUAGCAAGAUCCAAGGCAGCAGCAAGCAGGAGAGCUGGAAUGGUGAAUCCUUCCAUCCAGCAGAUUGUAGUGGGAGGCUUGCACACACACACACACAUGACAGAUUCCCAGGCUGCUGAUACUGUCUCUGCAUUUCAGCACAAGGCAAAAGAGAGCGGACAAAUGAAUACUGCUCAAGGUUCUUAGGGAUGCUGCUUUCUUCUUCCCCAUCACAUCUUCGAAUUAUGACUGCUGAACUGAGGAAUUCCCCCAGGGGCUGUUCAGAACCGAUUGAGCCUGACUGCUGGAAAAUUAGUUCUCUACAGGAGGUAAAAAAGCAAAAGGAUUUUUUUGUCCUCUCAGGGAAUGAAGGGUUGAUACUGAAUCCUUGCAGAGGUGGUGGCUUGCAAUGCAGCUAGGCUUGGGAGAUACGACGUGUACAGAACCGUACGCAGCUCAGCAUCAUGACACUUGCUAGUGGUAUGUGAAACAUUACUGGAAUCUAAAGCCCCCCAGCCCCGGCAGCAUGAGAGAUACUGCACCUCAGGGAUGCAGCUGAAUGCAUAUGCAUCUGAUCAGCCUCCGUCUGCAGAACAACCAAACACUUGCAUUACAUAUAUGCAACACAGUACACAAACCAAAAACGUAUUUAUUACAUUACCCUAUAUAUUCCCACAUACAAACCAUUACCUUUGACUUCAGUUUACUGCUGUGUUGAAUACAAAAUGUAUUCUAGCCCUACCCAUCAUUGAAAAAUGAUGCAUUAAAGAAUUCAGUAAGCCAGUUAAUUAUAAACAGGCCCAUGGCUGAUAACAUGCAUAGGUUAUUUCCCCCUCACUUACAUUUUUAACAGCCAAAAAAAGUUUAUAAAAUUAUAAAUGAUUUAAUGUCACUGACUUUAAAAAAUAAAAGCUCCCCUCUCCCCCCCAGGUACAUAAAGGUGAAUGAAAAUACUGUGCAUUAUUCAAGAGCUACCUAUGCAAGGUGCUGAGUAGAAAGGAAGAGUUAAACUUUCAUUUCAAUUAACAGGAUGCUACAAAGGCAUUUUAAAAUUGUGUAUUACUGCCAUUUUCUUAAUUUUUGCAGACUGAAAAAUAACAUGAAAGACAUAGGCUAUGCAACAUAUUAUAUGUUAACAAUUGGAAACCCUAAUGAUGGAACAAAGGCAUUUUUCUCUAUACCACGCCCAGUUGAGGUGUUUUAGCUCCAGUGUGAUUUAACCUCUGCAAAUCUCACAAUAAAGCUGUUCAGCUUAUCAUUUCACAAUGCAUAUGAUUAAUUCACAGAUGUAUUCUUUUAGCGCCAGAUCUGCUUCACAGAAUAUUAAUAUUCUGACAGAAACAUUCUAAAUAUAGAGAACAUGCUGGAGAUCCCACGACAAGGCAAGCUGGGACUGCAAAAAUACAGAUAUGUAUCUAGGGCUGUAAAAUUCAAAUUCAAACAUAGCUUAAAAAAGCUGAAAAUACAAACAUGUUUCAUUCUAUCAGGAGGUUAUAUAAUAAAUAUAAAAUAACUAAAAUAUUUUCCAGGCUUGCUACUAAGAAAUUUUCCAUUUGUUAACCUGCAAAUCAAGUAGGACAAUAUGUGUUGGGGUAGAUCAUCUGGGGUAUAAUAUCAAGCUUGUGUCUUUUUACAAUGUACUUAUUCAGGUUCAUGAUCUAUCUGAGAAUAUUUCAAGUGAAUUAGUUUACUCUGUAAAUGCCAUUUCAAUUUAAUUCUGUUACUUUAUUCUGUAAACUCCAUUUCAAAAAUGAGGUCUUUUUGUUCAAAUACUGCAGUUGUAUGUUGUUGGAACUCUAUUUUCCGUGUAAUAUCUCCACAAAUAAAAAUGUUUUCAAUUCA